rnacentral:telomerase_RNA from 1 species
CUGAGAGACAUCACGGUGUGGAGAAAUGAAACUAUUAACCUAACCUAAUCCAUUUUAACCGGGUGCUUUCGCUGGUUGUAAAAUCAAACAGAGAGUGUGUUUUCCGUGAUGUCUUUAAUUU